CGUGUAGGCGGUCUGUUUAGUCUGGUGUGAAAGCCCUGGGCUCAACCCGGGAAGUGCAUUGGAUACUGGCAGACUUGAGUACGGGAGAGGAUAGUGGAAUUCCGAGUGUAGGGGUGAAAUCCGUAGAUAUUCGGAGGAACACCGGUGGCGAAGGCGGCUAUCUGGACCGAUACUGACGCUGAGACGCGAAAGCGUGGGGAGCAAACA
rnacentral:rRNA from 1 species